rnacentral:hammerhead_ribozyme from 1 species
GUCCAGCUGGCGAGUUCUAAAUAGGAUGAAAUGCGUAUCCUGGAU